rnacentral:lncRNA from 1 species
AUAAAUAUAGUUUUAUAUAUAAAUAAAGUAAAAAUAUUACAUUUUUCUUUUCUUAGCACCAAUAUAACCACACCAUCGCUGGAAUUAUAAAAAUACCAAGAAAAUUUCUGUUGAUAAUGGAUUAAUGGAAUCAUAGACUUUUAGAGUUGAACAUUUGAGUUUAUCCAGUGCCUGGUUCCAGAUGAGGUGAACAGAGGCUCAGUGAGUUCCAAUUGCCUGGUUAAAGAUGAUAAUGGCAAAACUAGGGUUGGAAUCCCAGUUCUGCUACUUCUACUGGCUCUGCUAGUCAACUGUUUUUUAUACCCUUUGUUUCUUUCGUCUUUGGGUAUGAAAGAAAUGUGUUGUUAAAAUAAUGAGAGUCUUCUCUUCCUCUGGCAGUUCUGUUCAUUAGCAAAUCUUACCAGACAAUUCAACUCCCUUCUUUCCUGCCACUUCCACAGUACGGAACAAAGAACCUAAGUAGUCCCCUUUUAAGUCACCAUUGCAAUUAGAGGUCCUUAUGUUACAUAGAUCUAGACUAUAAAAUGCAAAUAAUGUCUGCCAUGGACUCAAGAAAAGACUUUUGCCUUUUUGGAUAAAAGAUAUGUAGAACUACCAUUGUCUUUUUCUUUUUUCCUACCUUGAGCACAAAUUUGCAAUGCAAAGCUGAAUCAACCAUCUUGGGAAGUGAUAAACAUGAAGAAAUAUCCAAGAAAAUUAUAGAAAUGCCCUAACAAGUUUGAGCCACAGAACCAUCACCAACAACUGCCUAUUUCCAGAUUUCUAGUGAUACAAGAAAAAAAACCUCCCUUUGUUUAGACACUUUAUUUGUAUUUUCUAUUCCCUGUAGCAAAAACAUUCCUUACUAACAUUUCUAUUUCUCAUUUUGUGCAUAAAUGCAUAUUCCAUAAAGGAGAGCCAAGAUACCCACCUUGGAGCCCAAGCUGAGGGGUAUUUUCGAUGUGUAUCUUGUGGAACCAGUCCUGCCAAUCUCAUCCAGUGACUAAAAAUGCCUAACCUCCUGGGAAUGGAGGUCAAGCAAGUUUCAGCCUCAUUUUACACAACACCUAUUCAAGAUGGAGGUGCUCUGGUUCAAAUCACUCUGACAAGCAGUCACUACCCCUGCCCCAAAGCCAAGCAUUGUAGGGAAUCUUAUCUGGUAACAAAGAGUUGAUCUGAAGUGAUGUUUGAAAAUGAGUGGGGUGGUUGUUUGUUGAAUCAGUGAGACAAUGAGUAGGGAAUGAGGGAGACUGUCAUUUAAUUGGUAAAGACCAGAGGUGCUAAUUGUUCUGCAAUUCCAUAGCAUUUCACUCAGCAUUCCACAAAAUCAAGCAUGCUCCCUCCCGAAAUAUUCACAUCGCCCCACUGAGAAACUGCCCCAGAGCACCCUGGGGAAGCUCAGCUUUGCAUUCCCACUUCUAUUAGACAGCCUUUGUGACACACACACCUUGUCCCUGUGAACAUGGUGAAUGGAAAUUAUCUUCUCCACAUUAACUUUGAAUACAUGGGCCAAGGAAAUGGCCCUAGGUGUAUACCAGUCCUGCUUCUUUCUCACUCCUUGGCUAGAGAAAGAAAGAAUUUAGCAAAUUCAUCAUUAGUCAAGAAUAAGGGGCUGCAUUUUGUUUUAAAAAUCCUCUCCUUCCAUUUUCAAUUCUAGUACAGGCCAUAUCAGAAUUAUAAUUAAUGAAAUAAAUGUUAAUUCAAAUUAUCUAUAUUUAAUGAGUUCAUGAUUCAUUAACUUGAAAAGAAUCCAUUUGUUUGCAUAAAAUGAAUCUCAAUGAUGGAACUAUAUAAUUAUUUAGUAUGAAUGAUGAUAGUGCACUUAAUAAAAUUAGAACAAUUUUUUGGUUAAUGUUACAGAUUAGG